rnacentral:rRNA from 1 species
CGUACAUCCGAGGGUCG